UGUAUUGGCAGGCCGGGCGGGCCAGCUUCGGUUGGGCCGUUUUCUUGAGAGCGGUUGUGGUAACCCGUUUCGGUCUGUCUCCAAA
rnacentral:antisense_RNA from 1 species